GGGUCAGUAGGUUGGACGUGCCUCCGGUACGUACUGGUCUCACUGAUUCCUCCUUCCUGAAGAACCGUAAUGCCAUUAAUUUGGUGUUGCGGGGAAACAGGACAGUUACUUUGAAAAAAUUAGAGUGUUUAAAGCAAGCUAACGCUUGAAUACAUUAGCAUGGAAUAAUGAAAUAGGACGAUCGAUCCUAUUUUGUUGGUUUCUAGGAUUGACGUA
rnacentral:rRNA from 1 species